rnacentral:lncRNA from 1 species
AUGUUUUUAAUUUUAUAUCUAUGCUUUCAGACUCUCUGAUGAUAAUUUUUUUAAAACAUUAUUUUCUCGAAGACCAGCUUAGGAGAGGACAGCCUUACGAGGGUUUGCUUGAGAGGCAGUGUUGCUUCUGUGACUGCCAGAUCUAAAUCUCGAUCUUGCCAUAACUUUACAGGGUAACUUGGGUCCACAGUCCCUCUUUGUGCCUCAGUUUACCCACCCAUUAAAUGGGAACAUUAUUGUCUUCCCCCUCCCUACCUCAUGGGGAAUGUCUGGGAAGCUGGGGACAUUGCUAUGCAAAUGUGUGAAUCUUAGUCAUGGAUUUGAUUUUUAGUUCUCUCCAUACCCCCAUAGGCAAGGCCUUCCCCCAGAGUUCCUGCCUUGGAUCCAAAGCCUAAGAAUAGGCCAUUAUGGACCAUUGGCUCCCGAAAUCCCUCCUUGGCCUCUUGGACUGAGCCCCUCAGCCUUUCUUCUUACCCUUCAGAAAGGAGGGUUCUUUUUAGAUAUGUUCAGGGGGAUCCUUCCAUGGCUGGAGGUCACCUUGACUAGGAGCUUGGCUUCUCCAAACCUGAAACACAGUAGAAGAUAGAGAUGUUUAUGAUGCACAAACCUGCUCUGAGGUCAGAAAGUGCUAGUUUUCCAAAUCUCUCCCAUUACUGCUGGCUAUUUGGGGGAAGAAGAGAAAAGCCCAUUCCAGAGGCAGAAGGGAAGCUCCCAGCCGAGGGUGAAAGUUGGGACAUGUAUGCAUGUAUCUCUGUAUAUGUGUAUGUAAUCACCCUCAUCACCAUCCCUGAGAAAACGUUUCCUUUUCAAGUCAGAGCACGCUUGAAAGGGUUUGUGGAGAGCCCAGCUCACCAGGGACUCUGGUUGCCGUAGCAACCUUCCAGACUGUUCUCUCUAUCUUCUGCUUUGGGCAUCAAGGGAGACCAGGGGACUACAUCUUUCCAGCUUCUCAAAUGGGAGCACCUCCCACAUAGUGGCUUAGGGGCUGGGAGUGCCAGGACAGGGAUGUGGGACUUUUGGAAAAUGUGGAGGAAGCAGGGCCUCAAAGCCUCCUGUCUGGACUUUUCUUCCUAGUUUCCCCACCCAGUCAUUGCAGCUGCCUCAUCUUACUCCUGAUUCUUCAGAAAUUUGAAUGUUAGGCAACCAGUUAAACCAACGUCAGUGUUAAUUUUUUCGAGCUGUCGAGGGGAGCCCUUAGACGGGACAACUUCUCCUUGGAGUGGCAGCCAGGCUGGGCCUCACCAGGUGAGAUCACAGUCUUAGGGAUCAUGGAGUUCCCGUCUCCGCAGAGGCAGGCUCUUCCCAGCUCCACGAGAGGCGGAGAAUUGCAACUUGUUCCUCCCCGGGAACAGUCUAUCUCGCUCCUGGGAGGAAUCUCAAAGAUCUUUCUUCUCAAGACAUCGAAGAAAAACGGAGAGGCUGUAGCUCGACCAAGUUUCUGGGAAGAAUUUUGUCAAGUGAUCCUUCUCUGACCUUAAGUCUCUUUAUUUGGAUUUUGUGCCCUGAGCACCAAGAGAAUAUGCACUCUGUGGUGCUCGGACAGCUGGGGUGGUCAUUCCCAGGAAGGGUCCAAGCCAUCGCUACACCUGACUCAAGCUGGAAGGAGCUCCCAGAGGACUUCCUGGCACUGCCAGCCUCAGCCUGAGAUGCGGGAUAUUCGUCCCCACGGAGCGAGGAGGGACAGCGCGCCGUCUUUGCAGGAAAAAUGCUGGCAGGUGGUGCAAGCAAGGACAUCUACGCAUAGAAUUCUGACAGCAGCUGAACCCUCAACUUCUUCAGAAGACGAGACCCCCUGCCUAGGUGAUCUGGCCUGACACCCCUGUGGAGGCCCCCCACAAGCAGCAACCAAGCCAGAAAAAGCUGAGACCAGACCCGCUGUCCCUAGAGAUGGGGCCCAGAAUGUCGGGGUGAAGCUGUAGGAACAGGGUGAAAGCUGGUGGGCAAAGAGACCAGCUAUGGGGUGGUCAGGGGAUUCCGGGAGGUGCAUGGUUGUGUUGCAGACCCACCCAGGACAAGGGUGGCUGUGGAAGAAUGGCAAAUAAACAUAUGGCAAAAUCUC